GACGAACGCUGGCGGCGUGCUUAACACAUGCAAGUCGAACGGAAAGGCCCUGCUUUUGUGGGGUGCUCGAGUGGCGAACGGGUGAGUAACACGUGAGUAACCUGUCCCUGACUUUGGGAUAACUUCAGGCAACUGGGGCUAUUACCGGCUAGGAGCUCUUGCUGCUUGGUGGGCGUUGGAUAGUUUCGGUGGUUGGGGAUGGACUCGCGGCUUAUCAGCUUGUUGGUUGGGUAGUGGCUUACCAAGGCUUUGACGGGUAGCCGGCCUGGGAGGGUGACCGGCCACAUUGGGACGGAGAUGCGGCCCAGACUCCUACGGGAGGCAGCAGUGGGGAAUAGUACACAAUAGGCGGAAGGCUGGUGCGGCAACGCCGCGUGCGGGAUGACGGGCUUCGGGUUGUAAACCGCUUUCGCCUGUGACGAAGCGUGAGUGACGGUAAUGGGUAAAGAAGCACCGGCUAACUACGUG
rnacentral:rRNA from 1 species